GUUUAUCUUGAAACACAGUAUCCACGUCAACACACCAUCAGCACUGGUUCCUGUCGCAGAGUCCUGGGUCAGUGCUAUGAUCUGUGAGGCAGCGGUGAGCGGCCUCUAGUGGUCAGACGCAGCGGCGGGCCGGAAUGAAGCGUGACUCCGCGCACUGUAAUAGGAAGUUCCCCUCCAAAACUUUUAGGAAACAAUCCUGUCCGGUCUACACCAAAUGAACGCCGACACCAUAAUCCUAAUCAUGGGAAAGCUUCUCAGGAAGUGAAGAGGAACUGCAUCAGCUGUCAUGGAUGCACAAACAGGAACUGAAGGAUUCACUGGUUGAUAUGUACAAAGCUAAUCCUAAAGUCAAUGAAGAACUGAAACAAAGGCUGCCGUCCCCUGUAAAGCACCAUUGUUCAGAGACCACACCACAACUUGGAUUCUCUUUAGGAGAAACUACUUCAGCUACAUCCCAAUGUCAGAGUUUAUCAAAAGCCCUGGAGGAGAAACUCACACAAGUAUCUAAGACUCCCAGGCCCAGAGAAGGUUUGACGCUCAGACUCCCUCCACCCCCACCCGUGCCAGGCCCAGUUUCAGCUGAAGUGAGAAUCAUGGAGGAGGAGAGACGGUCUCCACAGAGACCCACAGCACAGCAGGAGCAGGAUAUUAACGAGACAGCCAGCAGUCCGGUCCACACACCUCGCGUCAGCAGGGCAGGGUCUGCCGCGCUCAGGCAUGCUCAAGCUCACGAGGACCAGGGAAAUUCCAAAGUUAUCAGCGACUCCAAAAAACAAGUACCAGUUCUGGAUAAAGAGAAAAACAUUGCCUUUCUCUUAAAGGAGCUGGAUUCUCUUAGAGAACUCAAUAAGAAGUUCCAGGAGAAGUUGGCGCUGAAGGAGAAGGAGUUGGAAACCAAGCUUCUGGACUCUCAGCUACAGGAGACUGAGCUGGAGGCGCGUGCCAGUGAGAGAGCAGCAGCGUUAGUCGAGGAAAUCUAUAAGGCUCAGAGGGAGAGAGACCAGGCUGUGAUGGCCAGACUGCGUCUGGCUAACGAGGAGAGGGAUGAAGCUUUACUUCGGGCCAAGAAGCUUCAGGAGGCGACGCUGGAGCUGGAGAAUAUUAAACCUGAAGAAAGUGAUGUGGACCUGGAAGAGUUGUUGAACAGGGUUAACAGCGCGGACUCUGCCCUUGCUAUCGAGCAGAGCGGGGCGGCCAUCAUCGAACAGAUCCAGAGGGCCAGAGAGCGUCGCUCCCAGAUCACCUCAGAGGAGAUGAAAGCCGUCAUAGAAGAGAGAGACGCUGCUUUAACCAGGUGCAAGCGUCUGGAACAAGAGCUUCUUCGUGUGAAAGAGCCGUGCCAUAAUUCUGCAAACAGCACCCGCCACCUGGCUGCCCAAAACAAUCGGGAACGAGCGAGCAAGCUUGAGGAGGAGCUUCAAGAAGCUCAGAGAGAACGAGAUAAAGCCCUGCUGCACAGUCACACAGUGGAAGAGGAGCUGCAAACCUUACGCAGGUAUCACAGUGUGCUACAGCAUCAGGCUGAUGAGACCAGUCUGGACAGUCCUGCCACCUCAAGCCAGAGCCAGACCCAGAUUCAGCCUCUGCUGCACCGUCUGCAGCAGCUGACAUCAGAAUUCCAGAGCGCUCAGACCCAGCUGUGUCUGACCCAGGAGAGAGAGAGGGAGGCCAAUGAGAAAGUGCAGAGAGUCUGUGGGAUCAUCGCCCUCAUAAGCACAGGUUUACUCACCCCGACCAAUCACAUGACACCACACACAGGCUUCUGUUUGCCGGAGUAAAGGCAGGCGGAUAUUUGGAGGAUUUGGGCAUUGACACCAGCAUGGAUGUCUCACCCACUUUAAGAAGUGUCUACAUCCACUCUCCGCAUCUUUCCGUUCCUCCAAGAGCGCCCUUGUGUUGGAGCGGCUGGUGGAGGUGUUACGGAAGAAAGUGGGCACUGGCAGUGUCCGGAAAGUCAUCUGACCGACUGGCCGUCGGGCGACCCGAGCAGACGGCCACAUCUGGUGACCAGGCUGCAGCGUUUAACUCUGAGCAAACAGCCGAAGCCUGGCCUGGGCAAACACAGGCUGGAAGUGGCGUUCUUUCUCUCAGCCCUGUUCUCAUUCCAGCCCAAGCUCAGAAACGCCAUCGUAAAUGUUUAACCACAUUCUCUCUGCAGUCACCAAUGAAACUACUGCAGCCAGCCCUUUACCUCCACACUCUAUCUGCUACUCCAAAGGUUUUCUUUCUUUCGUUCUUUCUUCUCCUCUCGGUCGAUUUUUACUUGCAUUGUGACGUUAAGUCUGGUUAAACAAGGGAGAUUUGAUUGGACGAUUACUUUGUGAGGUACUGAGACUUUAUUUUUCAUAGAAAGCCAGCUAUUUUUGGACAAAGCUGGGAUUUGGGGAUGGACGAACUGGACUAUAGAUAUUUGACAUUUUUCCCAAAUGAAUAAAGGGAGUUAUAACAACAAUAUCAGUCGACGCAAUCAGUAUUUAUGAUCAUGAAUGCUUGUUCGGUGUUUACUCUUAAAUGUUAUUUAAUAAUAAACUGUUUCUGUGAUUAACAAUUAGUGUUUUUAGAUACAUUGGCAAUCAAAUUAUGCAGUCCACCAAUAGAGAAUAUAGUUGUAUAAUUGUUAAAUAUUUGUUCGUUUUACAUGACUCACAUGAACCCUCUUAUUUAUUAAGUAAAUAUGAAAUGUCUUUUUGUCUUAAUUUUUUUCUAAAUUUGUUUUUAACUCAUAAUCAUGUUCUAAACACAACUAUUCAAUCAAACCCAUAAAUAACACACUUUUUAAUUCAAGUUACAUACAUUAAAUAUUGUGCUGGGUGAAAUAGUGUUGAAAUAUUUGCAAUUAUUCUUUACUCUUAAUACUUUUUAAUGUGUUCUUAAAAUUAGUAUUGUUUAUUGCAAACACGAUUUAAGAUCAUAUCCCAACAUUUUUAGUAACAAAAAAAAGGCAGCUAAUUUUGGAAGUGCACAAUCAGAUAUACAGUAUAUUGUGGGAAUGGCAGUUCUGAAAAAAAGGGGGUUGAUGAUUCUUUGAAUUCUUAUUAAUGUGUUUCCAGUGUUUAAUGGGAACUGCUUUGCAUGCUGAUAAUUUACAAACAUAAAAUGGGCCAAAGAGAUCUUUCGACCUUUACCAACGACUAGAUACCCCAAACAAUUAUAUAAGCAUGCUUAAUGUUGCCUUUCCCUGUCCGUCCUUCAGCAGAGCUCUUCUUCAGCCUGAUCGAUUAUGUACUCAGAAAUAUGUUAGAUGCACCGGUGAAUAAAGAAAGGGCUGUUUAGGCCAGACGUGCCGCUGAGUGACCCUCCCCUCAAAUAAACGCCCGACACCAGGACAAGCUUGUCGAUUUUCC